GUCAGAGGCGAUGAAGGGCGUGCUAAUCUGCGAUAAGCGCCGGUAAGGUGAUAUGAACCGUUAUAACCGGCGAUACCCGAAUGGGGAAACCCAGUGUGACUCGUCACACUAUCAUUAACUGAAUCCAUAGGUUAAUGAGGCGAACCGGGGGAACUGAAACAUCUAAGUACCCCGAGGAAAAGAAAUCAACCGAGAUUCCCCCAGUAGCGGCGAGCGAACGGGGAGGAGCCCAGAGCCUGAAUCAGCAUGUGUGUUAGUGGAAGCGUCUGGAAAGGCGCGCGAUACAGGGUGACAGCCCCGUACACAAAAGCGCAUGUGCUGUGAGCUCGAUGAGUAGGGCGGGACACGUGGUAUCCUGUCUGAAUAUGGGGGGACCAUCCUCCAAGGCUAAAUACUCCUGACUGACCGAUAGUGAACCAGUACCGUGAGGGAAAGGCGAAAAGAACCCCGGCGAGGGGAGUGAAAAAGAACCUGAAACCGUGUACGUACAAGCAGUGGGAGCACAGGUUUACCUGUGUGACUGCGUACCUUUUGUAUAAUGGGUCAGCGACUUAUAUUCUGUAGCAAGGUUAACCGCAUAGGGGAGCCGGAGGGAAACCGAGUCUUAAUUGGGCGUUAAGUUGCAGGGUAUAGACCCGAAACCCGGUGAUCUAGCCAUGGGCAGGUUGAAGGUUGGGUAACACUAACUGGAGGACCGAACCGACUAAUG
rnacentral:rRNA from 1 species